GCAAGAACUUGAGCCCAGGAGAGCAGUCCUCUCUUUGUUCUCCUCUGCGUUCUUCUGACUUACCCACAGGUACGUCGGAUGGAUGGUUCACUAGGAUUCUUUGGUCUUGAGUGAACCUUGAGGGCCUGACCCUCCUUCCUGUCUAAUCGUCAGGUCCACCGCCCUGACCCUUGGCUCCUUGGGCCUCUGAGCAGGCACAAAGCCCUGGAUGCUCUCCCAGUGCUACAGGAAUCAGCUAUCAGUGGCUCGCAGCUGGGAUCCCAGCACUCAGCAUGUGGAAGCAGGAGAUUCAUAAAUUCAAGAUCAUUUUUGGCUAUACAGUAAAACAGAAUCCAUGGGUUUUAGGACAUAACGUUGAUGGAGCUCUUGGACUGCUUCCUAACAUUGAUGAGACACAGAAAGUGAGUCUGUAGGAUGAAACAAGAGCUUCAGACAACCAUGGCUUCAAAGGAAAACACAGUUGAGCUGUAAACUACUCCCUCAAGAUUUUACAAGGGAAAUGAAGAGGAACCAUAAAAAGAUAAGAGAAAUCCCGGCACAUUCCUUGGGCAACAGAAAGUGUUGUCCAAACAAGCACUCAGCAGGAAAUGGUAUUUCUGCUCAUCUUGCACUUAGAAAGAUGUUAUCAAUUUUCGGGUGACAAAAGUCAUUGAAGGUGGUUACAUUUGUAUGUUUGUCCUAGUAGGAAAGAUUUCUUCUUCUUUUGCCUCUAUUACAGUUUUGUUUCAAGUUCA